rnacentral:rRNA from 1 species
GAUGAACGCUGGCGGCGUGCCUAAUACAUGCAAGUCGAGCGAACAGACGAGGAGCUUGCUCCUCUGACGUUAGCGGCGGACGGGUGAGUAACACGUGGAUAACCUACCUAUAAGACUGGGAUAACUUCGGGAAACCGGAGCUAAUACCGGAUAAUAUAUUGAACCGCAUGGUUCAAUAGUGAAAGACGGUUUUGCUGUCACUUAUAGAUGGAUCCGCGCCGCAUUAGCUAGUUGGUAAGGUAACGGCUUACCAAGGCAACGAUGCGUAGCCGACCUGAGAGGGUGAUCGGCCACACUGGAACUGAGACACGGUCCAGACUCCUAUGGGAGGCAGCAGUAGGGAAUCUUCCGCAAUGGGCGAAAGCCUGACGGAGCAACGCCGCGUGAGUGAUGAAGGUCUUCGAAUCGUAAAACUCUGUUAUUAGGGAAGAACAAAUGUGUAAGUAACUAUGCACGUCUUGACGGUACCUAAUCAGAAAGCCACGGCUAACUACGUG